CACAGGUGCUGCAUGGCUGUCGUCAGCUCGUGUCGUGAGAUGUUGGGUUAAGUCCCGCAACGAGCGCAACCCUUGUCAUUAGUUGCUACGAAAGGGCACUCUAAUGAGGACUGCCGGUGACAAACCGGAGGAAGGUGGGGAUGACGUCAAGUCCUCAUGGCCCUUAUAGGUGGGGCUACACACGUCAUACAAUGGCCGGUACAAAGGGUCGCAAACCCGCGAGGGGGAGCCAAUCCAUCAAAGCCGGUCGUAGUCCGGAUCGCAGUCUGCAACUCGACUGCGUGAAGUCGGAAUCGCUAGUAGUCGUGGAUCAGCAUGUCACGGUGAAUACGUUCCCGGGUCUU
rnacentral:rRNA from 1 species